AGGUGGUUGAUCGCGUCGGAAGUGUAAUCUUGGGGCUUAACCCUGAGCGUGCUUUCGAUACGGGUUGACUUGAGGAGGGUAGGGGAGAAUGGAAUUCCUGGUGGAGCGGUGGAAUGCGCAGAUAUCAGGAGGAACACCAGUGGCGAAGGCGGUUCUCUGGGCCUUUCCUGACGCUGAGGAGCGAAAGCGUGGGGAGCGAACAGGCUUAGAUACCCUGGUAGUCCACGCUGUAAACGGUGGGUACUAGGUGUGGGGUCCAUUCCACGGGUUCCGCGCCGUAGCUAACGCUUUAAGUACCCCGCCUGGGGAGUACGGCCGCAAGGCUAAAACUCGAAGGAAUUGACGGGGCCACGCACAAGCGGCGGAGCAUGCGGAUUCAUUCGAUGCAACGCGUAGAACCUUACCUGGGUUUGACAUGGAUCGGGAGUGCUCAGAGAUGGGUGUGCCUCUUUUGGGGUCGGUUCACAGGUGGUGCAUGGCUGUCGUCAGCUCGUGUCGUGAGAUGUUGGGUUAAGUCCCGUUACGAGCGGCAACCCGUAAUCUUAGUUGCCAGCACUUCAGUUGGGCACUCUAAGGUGACUGCCGGUGACAAACCGGGGGAAGGUGGGGAUGACGUCGAAUCAUCAUGCCCCUUAUGACCUGGGCUACACACGUGCUACAAUGGAUGGGACAAUGGGCAGCGAAGCCGCGAGGUGUAGCAAAUCCCACAAAACCAUUCUCAGUUCGGAUUGCAGGCUGCAAUUCGCCUGCAUGAAGUCGGAAUCGCUAGUAAUCGUGGAUCAGCAUGCCACGGU
rnacentral:rRNA from 1 species